AGGGUUUGCUUUUGCUCUGAAGAGCGUUUUUGAUGUGUGAAAGCCAUCGCUUUAGCAGCUGGUAAGAAUCUCGACAUCAUUAGAUCAAGACUUUCUCUAGACGACGCAUCGUCAGCUUUCUCAACGUUCUUUUCGAUCUCACUCACUCCACUUGUGCUGCAGUUAACGGAGAAGGUUCCAUCAGAAGAACCUGGGUUUGUUCCCACAUAAAAGGAACUGGAGCUGGUUCGGAGAGAUGAUCGAAGCUCUGGUCUGGUAAUACAGAAACCGGCGUUUCUUGUUCUAUUCUUAGGCAUGAUCGACGCUCUGGUCUGGGUCGCCGAAUGCUUGGGGCCUAGCGCCGAGAUUGAAGGCUUGAGUUUAGGGAAAUAGGAGAUGAAUGUAGAUAAUUAAUUGUCAAUAAAGAGACUUUUCUCUUUGAUUUUUCUUUUCUAAAAUCACUUUCUCAAUAUUUCUAGCUGAGGGAAUUUAAUGUAAGAUCUUUAAUAUUUUCAUUUCAUAUA